rnacentral:rRNA from 1 species
AUUGAACGCUGGCGGCAGGCCUAACACAUGCAAGUCGAGCGAGCGGCGGACGGGGGAGUAAUGUAUGGGGACUGCCCGAUAGAGGGGGAGAACUACUGGAAACGGUAGCUAAUAACGCAUACUAUCGGAUAACCCAUAUGGGAUUAUCUAGUAGGUGAGGUAAUGGCUAACCUAGGCGACGAUCCCUAGCUGGUCUGAGAGGAUGCACAGCCACACUCGGACUGAGACACGGCCCAGACUCCUACGGAGGCAGCAGUGGGGAAUAUUGCACAAUGGGCGCAAGCCUGAUGCAGCCAUGCCGCGUGUAUGAAGAAGGCCCUAGGGUUGUAAAGUACUUUCAGUCGGGAGGCGUUACCGACAGAAGAAGCACCGGCUAACUCCGUGCCAGCCGCCGCGGUAAUUC